rnacentral:rRNA from 1 species
CUUGUGACGGCGUACCUUUUGUAUAAUGGGUCAUCGACUUAGUGUAUCUAGCAAGCUUAAGCCGUUAGGUGUAGGCGCAGCGAAAGCGAGUCUUAAUAGGGCGACUGAGUUAGAUGCAUUAGACCCGAAACCGAGUGAUCUAGGCAUGACCAGGAUGAAGGUAAGGUAACACUUACUGGAGGUCCGAACCCACACCUGUUGAAAAAGGUCGGGAUGAGUUGUGCCUAGGGGUGAAAGGCCAAUCAAACUCGGAGAUAGCUGGUUCUCUGCGAAAUCUAUUUAGGUAGAGCGUCAUCCGAAUACCCCGGGGGGUAGAGCACUGGAUGGGUAAUGGGGCCCCACAGGCUUACUGAUCCUAACCAAACUCCGAAUACCCGGGAGUACUAGAUGGCAGACACACUGCGGAUGCUAACGUCCGUAGUGGAGAGGGAAACAACCCUGACCUACAGCUAAGGCCCCCAAUUCAUGGCUAAGUGGGAAAGCAGGUGGGACGACCAAAACAACCAGGAGGUUGGCUUAGAAGCAGCCAUCCUUUAAAGAUAGCGUAACAGCUCACUGGUCUAAACAAGUUGUCCUGCGGCGAAGAUGUAACGGGGCUCAAGCCAUGAGCCGAAGCUUAGGAUGCCGUAAGGCAUGGUAGCAGAGCGUAGUGUGACAUAGGACCUCUCCUCUUUAGCGAUCUUCGGAUCGCCUUGGAGGAACGGGUUCUUUCUGUGAAGCCGGCGCGUGAGCGAUCCGGUGGAGAGAUCACUAGCGAGAAUGAUGACAUGAGUAGCGACAAAGAGUGUGAGAGACACUCUCGCCGAAAGUCCAAGGGUUCCUGCUUAAAGCUAAUCUGAGCAGGGUAAGCCGGCCCCUAAGGCGAGGCAGAAAUGCGUAGCCGAUGGGAACCACGUUAAUAUUCGUGGGCCAGGAGGAUGUGACGGAUCAAGAGGGUAGUUCAUUCUUAUCGGAUUGAAUGGGCUGCUUAUUGGUCCCUGGAAAUAGCCCUCCAUCAGACCGUACCCUAAACCGACACAGGUGGACUGGUAGAGAAUACCAAGGCGCUUGAGAGAACGAUGUUGAAGGAACUCGGCAAAAUACCUCCGUAAGUUCGCGAGAAGGAGGCCCGGUUCCUAGGCAACUAGGGGCUGGGGGCACAAACCAGGGGGUGGCGACUGUUUACUAAAAACACAGGGCUCUGCGAAGUCGCAAGACGACGUAUAGGGUCUGACGCCUGCCCGGUGCCUGAAGGUUAAAAGGAGAGGUGAGAGCCUUGAAUUGAAGCCCAGGUAAACGGCGGCCGUAACUAUAACGGUCCUAAGGUAGCGAAAUUCCUUGUCGGGUAAGUUCCGACCUGCACGAAUGGCGUAACGACUUCCCCGCUGUCUCCAACAUCGACUCAGCGAAAUUGAAUUGCCUGUCAAGAUGCAGGCUUCCCGCGGUUAGACGGAAAGACCCCGUGCACCUUUACUACAGCUUCGCACUGGCAUCAGGACUGCAAUGUGCAGGAUAGGUGGUGGGCUUUGAAGCGCGAACGCCAGUUUGCGUGGAGCCUCCCUUGAGAUACCACCCUUUGCAUUCUUGAUGUCUAACCGCGGUCCGUUAUCCGGAUCCGGGACCCUGCGUGGCGGGUAGUUUGACUGGGGCGGUCGCCUCCUAAAGAGUAACGGAGGCGCGCGAUGGUUGGCUCAGACCGGUCGGAAAUCGGUCGUUGAGUGCAAUGGCAGAAGCCAGCCUGACUGCAAGUCUGACAAGACGAGCAGAGACGAAAGUCGGUCAUAGUGAUCCGGUGGUCCCGAGUGGAAGGGCCAUCGCUCAACGGAUAAAAGGUACGCCGGGGAUAACAGGCUGAUACUGCCCAAGAGUCCAUAUCGACGGCAGUGUUUGGCACCUCGAUGUCGGCUCAUCUCAUCCUGGGGCUGGAGCAGGUCCCAAGGGUACGGCUGUUCGCCGUUUAAAGAGGUACGUGAGCUGGGUUUAGAACGUCGUGAGACAGUUCGGUCCCUAUCUGCCGUGGGUGUAGGAUACUUGAGAGGAGUUGCCCCUAGUACGAGAGGACCGGGGUGAACGAUCCACUGGUGGACCUGUUGUUGCGCCAGCAGCAGUGCAGGGUAGCUAUGAUCGGACAGGAUAACCGCUGAAGGCAUCUAAGCGGGAAGCCCCCCUCAAAACAAGGUAUCCCUGAGGACCGUGGUAGACCACCACGUCGAUAGGCCGGAGAUGUAAGUGCAGUAAUGCAUUCAGUUGACCGGUACUAAUGGUCCGAUAGGCUUGAU